AUUAAACGCUGGCGGCAUGCCUUACACAUGCAAGUCGAACGGCAGCACGGGGGCAACCCUGGUGGCGAGUGGCGGACGGGUGAGUAAAGCAUCGGAACGUAUCCUGGAGUGGGGGAUAACGUAGCGAAAGUUACGCUAAUACCGCAUAUUCUGUGAGCAGGAAAGCAGGGGAUCGCAAGACCUUGCGCUCUGGGAGCGGCCGAUGUCGGAUUAGCUAGUUGGUGGGGUAAAGGCCUACCAAGGCGACGAUCCGUAGCGGGUCUGAGAGGAUGAUCCGCCACACUGGGACUGAGACACGGCCCAGACUCCUACGGGAGGCAGCAGUGGGGAAUUUUGGACAAUGGGCGCAAGCCUGAUCCGGCCAUGCCGCGUGAGUGAAGAAGGCCUCGGGUUGU
rnacentral:rRNA from 1 species